GUCCCACUCAAAUGCAGAGUAGUAUAAAUCUGCACUAGAACCAGUCUAGAGACCAACACCCUGUCACCCACAUAAUCUCUGAUCUAACCUAGCAUGCACCUCCUCGCCUGAGUAGUGCAAUGGAAACAUUGAAAGGUCAAGCUGGGUGGCGGUUGGUUACUUUUUCAGAGUGUGAAUAGGAGAGAGGUAGAAAAGGGACUAGUGUGUGUGCUUACUGAGGUUUUAGCACACACACACACAUUUUUUCAAGCCUCGCACCUUCACAGGGAGCCGGUAAACAAAUGCUGUGGAUCCCUUGGGUGCGGUGCUCGGCGAACCAGAGCCUUCAUUUGCUCCCUCUUGUCUCAGUCUGCGGGCGUGUAUUUCAGUCCUUCUGAAGGCACAAAGAUGAUCAGUGGACAUAACAUGGACAUGGAGUCUCAUCCACCAAGUAUGCAGAGAGACCCAAGAAGACCUGCCUAAGGCGACGCCAUCUUGGUACCUGCUUACAGCGACGCCAUCUUGGUUCCUGCUUACAACGACGCCAUCUUGGUUCCUGCUUACAACGACGCCAUCUUGGUUCCUGCUUACAACUACACCAUCUUGGUUCCUCCUUACAACUACGCCAUCUUGGCCUCAGUUUGGCCACUGAAUGGACCAGAGAGGGUGGACAGUGUAACCUGAGCUGCUGAAGUUGCUCUGGAGAAACAACCUCUACACCCUGAGGUCAGAUCAAUGGAAAUGCCAAUAAAUUACUACUUUGGAAACACAGACACACGUCAUCAGGCUGCUGAUUAUCCUGCACCCCUGUCACCAUCGUAUCGCACACCUACGCCUCAUGACACUCACCUGGACUCCAUCACCUUCUUUAUUAUCUUCCCUAUAUCUGUCUCUCCCCUUGGUUCUUUCCUCAGGUGUUCAUUGUUUCUUUUAUUUAUUAAAACACUCACUCCCUGAACGUGCUUCCCGACUCUCGGCUCGCUCAUUACAGAAUAUCACCUCACCUAAGGGAAGCAUCAGGGAGUGUUGUUUUGUGUGUGUCUGUGUAAUGACGGCGGGUCCGGGAACUGCUACAGGCUCUCAUGCCUCAACCAGAUCGCCAGGCUCCCCUGCCUCAGCCGGGUUGCUAGGCUCCCCUGCCUUAGUCGGAUGCCAGGGUCCCCUGUUAGUCGGCUCAUCUGGCUUUCAUGCCUUAGCUGGAUCGCUAAACUCCCCUGCCUCAGCCGGCUCGUCAGGCUCUCAUGCCUCAGCCGAGUUGCUAGGAUCCCCUGCCUCAGCCGGCUCGUCAGGCUCUCAUGCCUCAGCCGAGUUGCUAGGCUCCCCUGCCUUAGUCGGAUGCCAGGGUCCCCUGUUAGUCGGCUCAUCUGGCUUUCAUGCCUUAGCUGGAUCGCUAAACUCCCCUGCCUCAGCCGGCUCGUCAGGCUCUCAUGCCUCAGCCGAGUUGCUAGGCUCCCCUGCCUCAGCCAGCUCGUUGGGCUCCCCU